GGGGUGAAAGACCAAUCAAACUCGGAGAUAGCUGGUUCUCCUCGAAAUAGCUUUAGGGCUAGCCUCAAAUGUUUGCCUAUGGAGGUAGAGCACUGAAUGGACUAAGAGCCCCACCAGGUUACUGAACCCAAUCAAACUCCGAAUGCCAUAGGCCUAUAGUUUGGGAGUCAGACUGCGGGGGAUAAGCUCCGUAGUCGAAAGGGAAACAGCCCAGACCAGCAGCUAAGGUCCCCAAGUGCAAGCUAAGUGUGAAAGGAAGUGGAAUUACGAAGACAGCCAGGAUGUUGGCUCAGAGGCAGCCAUCAUUUAAAAAGUGCGUAACAGCUUACUGGUCAAGUGAUUCUGCACCGAAAAAUGUACGGGGCUAAAGUUUGCCACCGAAGCUCUGGAUCCGGAAUUUAUUCCGGGUGGUAGAGGAGCGUUCCUUUAUGGGAUGAAGGGUAACCGUAAGGAUGCCUGGACUAAAAGGAAGUGAGAAUGCCGGCAUAAGUAACGAUAAGGAGAGUGAGAAUCUCUCCCGCCGAAAACCUAAGGUUUCCUGGGGAAGGUAAAUCCGCCCAGGGUUAGUCGGAACCUAAGCCGAGGCCGAAAGGCGUAGGUGAUGGACAACCGGUCAACAUUCCGGUACUACCAGAUUAUCGCUUUUGAGUGAUGGGGGGACGCAGGAAGGUAGGUCAGCACGAUAAAAGUUACGUGUCCAAGCCUGAUAUGGGAAGAGAUAGGAAAAUCCGUCUCUUAUUAAAACCCUAAGAGGUGAUAGGGAGCUGCUAUGGCAGCGAACUGAUCGAUCCUACACUG
rnacentral:rRNA from 1 species